rnacentral:rRNA from 1 species
GAUGAACGCUGGCGGCGUGCCUAAUACAUGCAAGUCGAGCGAACAGACGAGGAUCUUGCGCCUCUGACGUUAGCGGCGGACGGGUGAGUAACACGUGGAUAACCUACCUAUAUGACUGGGAUAACUACGGGAAACCGGAGCUAAUACCGGAUAAUAUAUUGAACCGUGUGGGUGAAUAGUGAAAUACGGCUUUUCUGUAUCUUCUAGAGGGAUCCGCGCCGCAUGGGCGAGUUGGUAAGGUAACGGCUUACCAAGGCAACACUGGGUGGCCGAGCUGCGAGGGGGAUCGGCCACCUGGGAACUGGGACACGGUCCAGACUACUACGGGAGGGAGCAGUAGGGAAUCGUCGGCAAUGGGCGAAAGCCUGACAGAGCAAGGCCGCGUGAGUGAUGAAGGUGUUGGGAUCGUAAAACUCUGUUAUUAGGGAAGAACAAAUGUGUAAGUAACUAUGCACGUCUUGACGGUACCUAAUAAGAAAGCCACGGCUAACUACGUG